rnacentral:rRNA from 1 species
GUAGGGAAUCUUCCACAAUGGACGCAAGUCUGAUGGAGCAACGCCGCGUGAGUGAAGAAGGUCUUCGGAUCGUAAAGCUCUGUUGUUGGUGAAGAAGGAUAGAGGCAGUAACUGGUCUUUAUUUGACGGUAAUCAACCAGAAAGUCACGGCUAACUACGUGCCAGCAGCCGCGGUAAUACGUAGGUGGCAAGCGUUGUCCGGAUUUAUUGGGCGUAAAGCGAGCGCAGGCGGAAUGAUAAGUCUGAUGUGAAAGCCCACGGCUCAACCGUGGAACUGCAUCGGAAACUGUCAUUCUUGAGUGCAGAAGAGGAGAGUGGAACUCCAUGUGUAGCGGUGGAAUGCGUAGAUAUAUGGAAGAACACCAGUGGCGAAGGCGGCUCUCUGGUCUGCAACUGACGCUGAGGCUCGAAAGCAUGGGUAGCGAACAGGAUUAGAUACCCCAGUAGUCC